rnacentral:rRNA from 1 species
UACAGAGGGUGCAAGCGUUGUUCGGAAUUAUUGGGCGUAAAGGGCGCGUAGGCGGUGCGGUAAGUCUGUAGUGAAAUCUCUGGGCUCAACUCAGAGUCUGCUGCAGAAACUGCCGUGCUUGAGUGUGGGAGAGGUGAGUGGAAUUCCCGGUGUAGAGGUGAAAUUCGUAGAUAUCGGGAGGAACACCUGUGGCGAAAGCGGCUCACUGGACCACAACUGACGCUGAGGCACGAAAGCUAGGGGAGCAAACAGG